rnacentral:rRNA from 1 species
AGUGAACGCUGGCGGUAGGCCUAACACAUGCAAGUCGAACGGCAGCACAGUAAGAGCUUGCUCUUACGGGUGGCGAGUGGCGGACGGGUGAGGAAUACAUCGGAAUCUACUUUUUCGUGGGGGAUAACGUAGGGAAACUUACGCUAAUACCGCAUACGACCUACGGGUGAAAGCAGGGGAUCUUCGGACCUUGCGCGAUUGAAUGAGCCGAUGUCGGAUUAGCUAGUUGGCGGGGUAAAGGCCCACCAAGGCGACGAUCCGUAGCUGGUCUGAGAGGAUGAGAGGCCACACGGGAAGAGAGUCACGGUCCAGGCGCAUGCGGGAGGCAGCAGUGCGGAAUAUUCGGCAAUGGGCGAAAGCUUGACAGAGCAAUGCCGCGGGAGUGAAGAAGGUCUUCUGAUUGUAAAGCUCUGUUAUUAGGAAAGAACAAAUGGGUAAGUAAUAAUGCCUGGCCUGACGGUACCGAAUCAAAAAGCGACGGCUAACUUCGU